AACGCUGGCGGUAGGCCUAACCCAUGCAAGUCGAACGGCAGCACAGUAAGAGCUUGCUCUUACGGGUGGCGAGUGGCGGACGGGUGAGGAAUACAUCGGAAUCUACUUUUUCGUGGGGGAUAACGUAGGGAAACUUACGCUAAUACCGCAUACGACCUACGGGUGAAAGCAGGGGAUCUUCGGACCUUGCGCGAUUGAAUGAGCCGAUGUCGGAUUAGCUAGUUGGCGGGGUAAAGGCCCACCAAGGCGACGAUCCGUAGCUGGUCUGAGAGGAUGAUCAGCCACACUGGAACUGAGACACGGUCCAGACUCCUACGGGAGGCAGCAGUGGGGAAUAUUGGACAAUGGGCGCAAGCCUGAUCCAGCCAUACCGCGUGGGUGAAGAAGGCCUUCGGGUUGUAAAGCCCUUUUGUUGGGAAAGAAAAGCAGCAGGUUAAUACCCCGCUGUUCUGACGGUACCCAAAGAGUAAGCACCGGCUAACUUCGUA
rnacentral:rRNA from 1 species